UCUUUGAAGAAGGAAAAAGCAGAAGAUAUCCAAUCGGUGAAUUGACCCAAAGUCACUGGUUCGACACGGGUACUAUUCAAAACAGCAAUCUGAGUUAGUUGAGACUGGAUCAAGUUUUCUGCUUCCAUGGACCAGGUUCCGGAUAGAUACUCUCCGAUGAUGCGGGAGGCAUUUCUGGAAUCAUAAAAUCUGACAGAGGUUAUACAUAAAUGUGCACGUUGAUCAAUACAACCCAAAUGUACUAGGUCAGACAAUUCCUCAACUUGAGCUUGAAGCAGAUCUAUCCUUUGAUUAGCAGCCAGAAUCCCAGAUAAAAUGUGUUGAUUAAUUCUACUUUGAGAUUCAAGUAUGGUGGAUGUUUGUUGAAUAACCUGAUUAAUAGUGGCAGNUGAAUUGACCCAAAGUCACUGGUUCGACACGGGUACUAUUCAAAACAGCAAUCUGAGUUAGUUGAGACUGGAUCAAGUUUUCUGCUUCCAUGGACCAGGUUCCGGAUAGAUACUCUCCGAUGAUGCGGGAGGCAUUUCUGGAAUUAUUAAAUCUGACAGAGGUUAUGCAUAAAUGUGCACGUUGGUCAACACAACCCAAAAGCACCAAGUCAGCCAAUUCUUCUACCUGAGCUUGGAGUAAAUCUAUUCUUUGGUUGGCAGCUAAAAUCCCUGACAAAAUAUGUUGAUUAAUUGUAUUUUGGGAUCCAAGUAUGGUGGAAGUUUGUUGAACAACUUGAUUAAUGGUGGCAGCAGUUUGUACUUGACUGGCCAUGGCCACUCCGGCCGUAACCGCUGCAGCAGCAGACACUGCCACAGCUGUCACUAUAGCUGCCGUAAUUCCAAAAUCCCUGCGGACUCUAAGUAGCUCAACAAUGGGGAAUUUAUCUGGGUCCGCAGUGACUGGGAUUGGGACAAAGGUUGGAAUUUUCAUAACCACUGCUACAGUCCAAGAACCAUUCCAACACUCAGAUAAGAGACAGGUAACACUAGAACAAUCCAGCAUCCCUGACGAGGUGUCAUUAGUCAAAAGGAGCAAGAAUGGGGAUUGGACGCAGACCAUCGCAGGGGGCAAUGUGGCAUUAUAUAGCAAAGAGUUGAACGAAACAGAUGUAAGUCUAUU
rnacentral:lncRNA from 1 species